GUAGUACUCCCUCCGUCCCAAUAUUCUUGUCUUAGAUUUGUCUAAGUACGGAUGUAUCAAGUCACGUUUUAGUAUUAGAUACAUCUGUAUCUUGAUAAAUUUAAGACAAGAAUUUUGGGACGGAGGGAGUAGUAC
rfam:Triticum aestivum genome assembly, contig: Triticum_aestivum_CS42_TGACv1_scaffold_515748_6BS